rnacentral:rRNA from 1 species
GAUGAACGCUGGCGGCGUGCCUAAUACAUGCAAGUCGAGCGAACAGACGAGGAGCUUGCUCCUCUGACGUUAGCGGCGGACGGGUGAGUAACACGUGGAUAACCUACCUAUAAGACUGGGAUAACUUCGGGAAACCGGAGCUAAUACCGGAUAAUAUAUUGAACCGCAUGGUUCAAUAGUGAAAGACGGUUUUGCUGUCACUUAUAGAUGGAUCCGCGCCGCAUUAGCUAGUUGGUAAGGUAACGGCUUACCAAGGCAACGAUGCGUAGCCGACCUGAGAGGGUGAUCGGCCACACUGGAACUGAGACACGGUCCAGACUCCUACGGGAGGCAGCAGUAGGGAAUAUUCCGAAAUGGGCGAAAGCCUGACGGAGCAACGCCGCGUGAGUGAUGAAGGUCUUCGGAUCGUAAAACUCUGUUAUUAGGGAAGAACAAAUGUGUAAGUAACUAUGCACGUCUUGACGGUACCUAAUCAGAAAGCCACGGCUAACUACGUG